rnacentral:rRNA from 1 species
AUACGGAGGAUCCGAGCGUUAUCCGGAUUUAUUGGGUUUAAAGGGAGCGUAGGUGGACAUGUAAGUCAGUUGUGAAAGUUUGCGGCUCAACCGUAAAAUUGCAGUUGAUACUGUGUGUCUUGAGUACAGUAGAGGAGAGCGGAAUUCGUGGUGUAGCGGUGAAAUGCUUAGAUAUCACGAAGAACUCCGAUUGCGAAGGCAGCUCGCUGGACUGUUACUGACACUGAGGCUCGAAAGUGUGGGUAUCAAACAGGAUUAGAUACCCUGGUAGUCCACACAGUAAACGAUGAAUACUCGCUGUUUGCGAUAUACGGCAAGCGGCCAAGCGAAAGCAUUAAGUAUUCCACCUGGGGAGUACGCCGGCAACGGUGAAACUCAAAGGAAUUGACGGGG